rnacentral:rRNA from 1 species
GACGAACGCUGGCGGCGUGCCUAAUACAUGCAAGUUGAGCGCUGAAGGUUGGUACUUGUACCAACUGGAUGAGCAGCGAACGGGUGAGUAACGCGUGGGGAAUCUGCCUUUGAGCGGGGGACAACAUUUGGAAACGAAUGCUAAUACCGCAUAAAAACUUUAAACACAAGUUUUAAGUUUGAAAGAUGCAAUUGCAUCACUCAAAGAUGAUCCCGCGUUGUAUUAGCUAGUUGGUGAGGUAAAGGCUCACCAAGGCGAUGAUACAUAGCCGACCUGAGAGGGUGAUAGGCCACAUUGGGACUGAGACAAGGCCCAAACUCAUACGGGAGGCAGCAGUAGGGAAUCUUCGGAAAUGGAAGAAAGUCUGAACGAGCAACGCCGCGUGAGUGAAGAAGGUUUUCGGAUCGUAAAACUCUGUUGGUAGAGAAGAAAGUUGGUGAGAGUGGAAAGCUCAUCAAGUGACGGUAACUACCCAGAAAGGGACGGCUAACUACGUG